CCUUCCUACGGGGGGCAGCAGUAGGGAAUCUUCGGCAAUGGGGGCAACCCUGACCGAGCAACGCCGCGUGAGUGAAGAAGGUUUUCGGAUCGUAAAACUCUGUUGUUAGAGAAGAACGUUAAGUAGAGUGGAAAGUUACUUAAGUGACGGUAUCUAACCAGAAAGGGACGGCUAACUACGUGCCAGCAGCCGCGGUAAUACGUAGGUCCCGAGCGUUGUCCGGAUUUAUUGGGCGUAAAGCGAGCGCAGGUGGUUCCUUAAGUCUGAUGUAAAAGUCGGUGGCUCAACCAUUGGUUGCAUUGGAA
rnacentral:rRNA from 1 species